rnacentral:rRNA from 1 species
CAGGGUUUGACAUCCUGCGAAUCUCCUGGAAACGGUAGAGUGCCUUCGGGAACGCAGUGACAGGUGGUGCAUGGCUGUCGUCAGCUCGUGUCGUGAGAUGUUGGGUUAAGUCCCGCAACGAGCGCAACCCACGUCUUUAGUUGCCAGCAUUCAGUUGGGCACUCUAGAGAGACCGCCGGUGAUAAACCGGAGGAAGGUGUGGAUGACGUCAAGUCAUCAUGCCCCUUACAUCCUGGGCUACACACGUACUACAAUGCUACGGACAAAGGGCAGCAAACUCGCGAGAGCUAGCAAAUCCCAUAAACCGUGGCUCAGUUCAGAUCGUAGGCUGCAACUCGCCUACGUGAAGGAGGAAUCGCUAGUAAUCGCAGGUCAGCAUACUGCGGUGAAUACGUUCCC